ensembl:lncRNA
AGCCUGAACAAGCUAUUUGCCCAAGUUGUUUUACGGAAACUUAAGUCACAUUCAAGCCAAGCUGGUUGAGACUGGAUGGGACCACUGAUCUGCUAGCUUGUCAUGUGGACCUAUCAAUUUGGGCUCCUUCCAGAACUGAAAACUGGUUACAAAUAUGAAACAGAUUUAACUACUGGACUUGAACUCCACAUAAGGAAAAAAAAAAAGAAGAAGAUCCUCAAAGAUCCUCAUCAAAGAAUAGAUGCAGUGUGACUGGCAGGGAUAUCAAAGAGCUUAUCUCCUUCCUACUUAGUUGGCCUUCCCCUACUCCAUCCAGUUCAACUUUCAUGUGCCCUGAGGAUGUGAGAGGCGUGUUGCUCUGUCAAAGCUUCCCUCUUGCCAGCUGAGGGACCUCAUUUGGCCACCACCUUCUGAAUCCUUGCCUUUCCAUGGAACGUGGGCUCUGUGGAAACAUAAUCCAGAACAACAUCCCAUCCUGCAGUGUAAACACAAUACCCCUCCCUCUCUCAUGUCAUCUCAUGACAGUCAGCCCCUAUCCCAGUUCUAGAAAAUGUCCCAGUUGCCUGUGCCUAUGUGGUGGGAUUGGGGGCUUCUCUGCCUCCUUCCUCUCAUGACCUUUUUGGAUAAGCUGAGCCAGAAGAGCUUUGAAAGCGCCCCUGUAGGAACUUGGUUCUGUGAGAAUUCCUCAAAUCCCUCAGAUUAAAUCAACUUCAUUAGGCAAGCACAGAAGUAUCAA